rnacentral:rRNA from 1 species
CAAUAGCGUAUAUUAAAGUUGUUGCAGUUAAAAAGCUCGUAGUUGGAUUUCUGAUCGAGACAUCAGGUCGGGUCCGAGAGGAUCAUGUACUUUGAUUUUGUUUUGAUCAUCCUUGGGGAGAGCAUUUCUGGCAUUCAGUUGUCGGGAUUGGGAUCCUCAUCGUUUACUGUGAAAAAAUUAGAGUGUUCAAAGCAGGCCUCGGCCUCUGAAUACAUUAGCAUGGAAUAAUAAGAUAGGACUUUGGUGGUCUAUUUUGUUGGUUUACACGCCAAAGUAAUGAUUAAUAGGGAUAGUUGGGGGUAUUCGUAUUCAAUUGUCAGAGGUGAAAUUCUUGGAUUUAUGGAAGACGAACUACUGCGAAAGCAUUUACCAAGGAUGUUUUCAUUAA